rnacentral:rRNA from 1 species
UACGUAGGGUGCGAGCGUUAAUCGGAAUUACUGGGCGUAAAGCGUGCGCAGGCGGUUUUGUAAGCCAGAUGUGAAAUCCCCGGGCUCAACCUGGGAAUGGCAUUUGGGACUGCAAGGCUUGAGUGCGGCAGAGGAGACUGGAAUUCCUGGUGUAGCAGUGAAAUGCGUAGAUAUCAGGAGGAACACCGAUGGCGAAGGCAGGUCUCUGGGCAUUAACUGACGCUGAGGAGCGAAAGCAUGGGGAGCGAACAGG